rnacentral:lncRNA from 1 species
UAUGUGUAAUAUUAGAAAUGGAUUGGUUGGAAAAGUAUAGAGGUAUAAUAGACUAUGAAAGUAAAAUUAUAACCUUACGAUCUGCGAAAAAGAAAUAAAAGUUGUUGUUAUCAUUUUUUUUUCUAAUGAUUGAAUGAACAAGAAUAUGGACGCUGAUCCUGCUAUGUUUUCCGUACCCAUUAUUUGCAAUUUUCCUGAU